GAUGAACGCUGGCGGCGUGCCUAACACAUGCAAGUCGAGCGGCAAGGCCUCAACGGGGGUACACGAGCGGCGAACGGGUGCGUAACACGUGGGUGUCCUGCCCUCAGCUCUGGGACAAGCCUGAGAACCUGGGUCUAAUACCGGAUAUGACCCAUACUACCAACGGGUUUGGUCGAAAGUUUUUUCGGCUGUGGAUGGGGCCGCGGCCUAUCAGCUUGUUGGCGAGGUGAUGGCCUACCAAGGCGACGACGGGUAGCCGUGCUGAGGGGACGACCGGCCAAACUGGGAGUGAGGCACGGGCCGGGAUCCUUCGGGAGAGGGCGGAAGGGUGUAUUACGCAAUGGGCGUGAGUCUGGCACGGCGACGCCGCGUAGAGGAUGUCGGUCUUGGAAUUAAAAACCUCUUUCGACCCCGACGAAUUUGGACGGUAGGGAAAGAAGAAGCACCGGCCAACUACGUG
rnacentral:rRNA from 1 species